AGAGUUUGAUCCUGGCUCAGAACGAACGCUGGCGGCAGGCUUAACACAUGCAAGUCGAACGCUCCUAGCAAUAGGGGAGUGGCAGACGGGUGAGUAACGCGUGGGAACAUACCCUCCGGUUCGGAAUAACUCAGGGAAACUUGAGCUAAUACCGGAUACGGCAUUCAAGAGAAAUCUUGGCGGCGAAAGAUUUAUCGCCGGAGGAUUGGCCCGCGUCCGAUUAGCUAGUUGGUGUGGUAAUGGCGCACCAAGGCGACGAUCGGUAGCUGGUCUGAGAGGAUGAUCAGCCACAUUGGGACUGAGACACGGCCCAAACUCCUACGGGAGGCAGCAGUGGGGAAUAUUGGACAAUGGGCGCAAGCCUGAUCCAGCCAUGCCGCGUGAGUGAUGACGGCCUUAGGGUUGUAAA
rnacentral:rRNA from 1 species